rnacentral:rRNA from 1 species
AUUGAACGCUGGCGGCACGCUUUACACAUGCAAGUCGAACGGUAACAGGCCGCUAGGUGCUGACGAGUGGCGAACGGGUGGGUAAUGCAUCGGAACGUGCCCAGUCGUGGGGGAUAACUACUCUAAAGAGUAGCUAAUACCGCAUACGAUCUGUGGAUGAAAGCGGGGGACCGUAAGGCCUCGCGCGAGUGGAGCGGCCGAUGCCAGAUUAGGUAGUUGGUGGGGUAAAGGCUCACCAAGCCAAGGACCUGUAGCUGGUCUGAGAGGACGACCGGCCACACUGGGACUGAGACACGGCCCAGACUCCUACGGGAGGCAGCAGUGGGGAAUUUUGGACAAUGGGCGCAAGCCUGAUCCAGCAAUGCCGCGUGCAGGAAGAAGGCCUUCGGGUUGUAAACUGCUUUUGUACGGAACGAAACGGCUCUGGUUAAUACCCGGGGCUAAUGACGGUACCGUAAGAAUAAGCACCGGCUAACUACGUG